CCAAAGCUUCACCCACAAAGCUUCACCUAAAAAGCUUCACCCACAAAGCUUCACCCAAAAAAAAAAAACUUCACCCGAAAAGCUUCACUUAAAAAAAGCUUCACCUACAAAGCUUCACCUAAAAAAGUUUCACCUAGAAAGCUCCCUCUACAUACUUUCACCAUCAAAGCUUCACCAUCACAGCUUCACCUAGAAAGCUUCAUCUACAAAGCUUCAUCUACAAAGCUUCACCAUCAAAGCUUCACCUAGAACGCUUCAACACCAAAGCUUCACCUACAAAGCUUCAACACA
rnacentral:lncRNA from 1 species